GCCCAGAAUAGUGCCGACAACGAAUUGUCAGUCAGAGUGAAAGAAUUUUUGUGCAUUUUUUUGAAGCGAUCAAAAAAGAAUUAAAAAGGAGUUUAGAUUAGACAACGAAUUUUUUUAUAUAAAAUAGUAUUUUUUUAACUUACAAUCAAUUAAAAAUCAAUUUCAAAUCGAAAACCAAAAUUAAGUGUUUUUUAAUUGUGUUGUGUGAACGUCAUUGUGUCUUAAAUAAAAAAACAAAAAAGAA